UAAGUCAAUACAAGUUUUCAUAUAAAUUUCAUGCUUAGUUAAUGGUCCAACUUCAUUUG
rnacentral:sRNA from 1 species